UACGUAGGGGGCAAGCGUUGUCCGGAAUUAUUGGGCGUAAAGAGCGCGUAGGCGGUCCGAUAAGUCGGCUGUGAAAGUCCAGGGCUCAACCCUGGAAAGCCGGCCGAUACUGUCGGACUAGAGUCCGGAAGAGGCAAGUGGAAUUCCCGGUGUAGCGGUGAAAUGCGCAGAUAUCGGGAGGAACACCAAUUGCGAAGGCAGCAUCCUGGACCGGUAUUGACGCUGAGGCGCGAAAGCUAGGGGAGCAAACGGG
rnacentral:rRNA from 1 species